rnacentral:lncRNA from 1 species
UAAGGGAAUACAAAGAUAAAUGCCUGCACUCUACUCCCAAGGAGUUCAGAGUCCAAGAGAGAGACAGAUAUAUCAACAAAUAUUAACAGUACAGAGUGAUAAGCCAACAGUCUAAGCAUACGAAUAGUUCACAGGCAGAGAAGAGAAGGGAGUGAUUACCCAUCAUUCCCAACCCCUCACUGGGAAGAAGCCUGUGGAAGAGGCGACACCUACUCUGGACUUUGAAAGGCAUUUCAGGCAGUGGAGUUGGAGCACACAAUCACACAGUGGUGAAACUGAAUGGCAUGUUUAGAAUGAUGUUGCUGGAGGGUAAGAGGAGGAUGAUGGAGAUUAUUGGAACUUUUUCUUUGACCAAACAAUGGCUUUUGAUGAAUUGCUGUAAUGGUGCAGAAAACCCAAAGCCAAGGAUUUUCGGGAAAAAAGUCACAGCAGCAUUUAGUAAGUGGAAUUUAUAACAUUUUCAUCAUUGUCUUAUGAUAGAUGAAGAUCCUUGAAGCCUGAAGUGGGGAGGCAGAAUGUCUGAACUGAAAAGCAACUUCCUCUCUUUCCCAUUGGACAUCUUAUUGUGCCAGGAAAGGCAAAGAAUGAACAUUCACAAAAUUGUUCAUGCAUGAAGAGUGGUGUUGCCAGCGAGCUGAAUUUGAGACAUGCCUAUGACUUUUUAGCCAUGUAUGGGUAGCCGUUAUUCAGGAGAGAAUGAUUGGAGGCUGUGCUUGCUCUUGGCUGCAUUGCCUUCAGAUCCGUUCCUAGCCCUUUCCCUGCUCUAAUGUGGGUGGCAAGCUGGGUAUGAGGAGGGAGCCUGCAAGAGACUGGAGGCCAGGAGGGCGGCAGGAGGUAGUGUUUCUCUCUGUAUCUCCAGGCUUUGGGCCUCAGACUUUGCUACUGCUGGGACUCUUCUGUGGUGGCUCAAGUGUCCUUCUGCCCCCAACAGUCCUGCCAGGGUUCUAACUUCCACCAGGUGCCCAGUCUCUGGGCUCUGGUAAUUCUAUCUCUCCCCUUUUUUCAUCCUAACCCAGAGGUGGUAGUGCCUUCCCCAUUGUGGAUAAUCUCUGGAGUACCUCACUUUCCUGUGUGGCUUCUCAGCAAAUUACAUCACCUGGGUAACCAAGUCCCUGUAUUAAACUCUACUUUUAAAAAUACUUAGAUGAUUUUCCAAAUUAGACUAUGACUAAUACAGGCAGAGGGGUGUCUUUCUAAGAAGAAACUUUCCAGAUACUAUUCAGGACCUAACUGUCCACCCCCGACCAUGGUUUGAAACAAUGAUCGGCUUCCUCAUUUUUUGCUCCUGGACUCCUCUGUUAAAGACACUUGCGUUGUUCUGUAGUCUGACACAUCUUCAAUUUCAGGUUUCCCAUUCCAUUUGGACUCUUGGCAUCUCUCUGCCAAUCUUGUGCCUGUCCUCAGAAGCAGCAUGGCAUUGAGUAAGAGCACUGGCUUUGGCAUUGAGCUGUCUUGCUUCAAAUCUCAGUUAAUGUCUCCAAACUCCAGUAGUGCUGUCCAAUAAAGCACAGUGUGAGCAUCAUGUGUGCGUUUACAUUUUCCAGGACCAUG